GUCAGAGUGGCCGAGUGGUUAAGGCGUCAGACUUGAAGCGCUCCUUGAUACCAGGUUUCGAUCUGGAGUAAUUGAGCCUAGAUAUCUGAUUCCCUAGGGAUCGCAGGUUCGAAUCCUGUCUCUGACG